AUUGAACGCUGGCGGCAUGCCUUACACAUGCAAGUCGAACGGCAGCACGGGAGCAAUCCUGGUGGCGAGUGGCGAACGGGUGAGUAAAGCAUCGGAACGUGCCCAGUCGUGGGGGAUAACGUAGCGAAAGCUACGCUAAUACCGCAUACGAUCUGUGGAUGAAAGCGGGGGACCGUAAGGCCUCGCGCGAUUGGAGCGGCCGAUGUCAGAUUAGGUAGUUGGUGGGGUAAAGGCUCACCAAGCCGACGAUCUGUAGCUGGUCUGAGAGGACGACCAGCCACACUGGGACUGAGACACGGCCCAGACUCCUACGGGAGGCAGCAGUGGGGAAUUUUGGACAAUGGGCGCAAGCCUGAUCCAGCAAUGCCGCGUGCAGGAUGAAGGCCUUCGGGUUGUAAACUGCUUUUGUACGGAGCGAAACGGCUUCCACUAAUACUGGGGGCUAAUGACGGUACCGUAGGAAUAAGCACCGGCUAACUACGUGCCAGCAGCCGCAGUAAUAC
rnacentral:rRNA from 1 species